rnacentral:rRNA from 1 species
AGAGUUUGAUCAUGGCUCAGGAUGAACGCUGGCGGUCUGCUUAACACAUGCAAGUCGAACGAAUCCCUUCGGGGAUUAGUGGCGGACGGGUGAGUAACGCGUGAGAAUCUACCAAAAGGACUGGGACAACCACUGGAAACGGUGGCUAAUACCGGAUGAGCCGCAACGUAAAAGAGGAAACUCGCCUUUUGAAGAGCUCGCGUCUGAUUAGCUAGUUGGUGAGGUAAAGGCUCACCAAGGCGGCGAUCAGUAGCUGGUCUGAGAGGAUGAUCAGCCACACUGGGACUGAGACACGGCCCAGACUCCUACGGGAGGCAGCAGUGGGGAAUUUUCCGCAAUGGGCGAAAGCCUGACGGAGCAAGACCGCGUGAGGGAGGAAGGCUCUUGGGUUGUAAACCUCUUUUGUCAGGGAAGAACACAAUGACGGUACCUGAAGAAUCAGCAUCGGCUAACUCCGUGCCAGCAGCCGCGGUAAUACGGAGGAUGCAAGCGUUAUCCGGAAUUAUUGGGCGUAAAGCGUCCGCAGGUGGCACUUCAAGUCUGCUGUCAAAGACCGGGGCUUAACCCUGGAAAGGCAGUGGAAACUGAAGCGCUAGAGUGUGGCAGGGGUAGAGGGAAUUCCCGGUGUAGCGGUGAAAUGCGUAGAGAUCGGGAAGAACAUCGGUGGCGAAAGCGCUCUACUGGGCCACAACUGACACUCAGGGACGAAAGCUAGGGGAGCGAAUGGGAUUAGAUACCCCGGUAGUCC